AAGACUGCCUUCAGAGAUCAGCAGGGACAGACCAGCUGGAGCUCCCUCAUCUAAGGCUUCCAUCCCGGAGAGAGUGCUCUCUCAAGUCAUCGUCCAGGACUGACUAGAAGCUGCAGAAAGAGGGCAGCUCAGUCCCUCUCCAGCAUCUUAGACUCUGGACUUGAGCUGUGGACAGGAGCUCUUUCCAGCCUCAGAGACCUGCCGCACUGGUUCAUUUAAAUCCUGUGUGAUGAUUCGUUUUAACUUGUUGGAUCCAGUUAAGGUGGUUAAUUCUGAACUGACAGGU
rnacentral:lncRNA from 1 species